UUUCAGGCUAUCUUUAUAAUUUUUUAUUAGUUUUGCGUUUGUUUAGAGUCCGCAAGCUCGUAGCUGAUUUCCUCCUUUAGAUACCACCUGUCGACGGUUUGACAGCCUCACACAAUUGAACGUAUGCCAAAAAGCCAAAGUGAGCUCUUCCGAUCAGAAAAGUGACGGCGUAUCCAUUUAAUUGAAAAUAGGCACAAGAUAACGCACAAUUGGCGUUCUUGCCUCAAUGGAGAAAUUUUUCCGUGGAACUUAUGACCGAAAUACCAUUGCAGCUGUUCAAAAAAAAAAGAAAAGUGUAUUAUCAUGCAGAUGUUGACUAGCUAACAAUCCAGAGAUACGUCAACUUGCGAAAUUUCUAGAUGUGUGUGAAGCGCAAUCAGCAUCCUUGUUGAACUGUGAACCCAAAUCAUGUAUUUUCCUAGAAAUAUCUAGGUUUUUGGAUAAAUAAAUAAAAGUCAGUGAAAAAAUGUGA